GUCGAAAAUGGACAACGCGGACACAGACCCAUUUCUCAAAAACAUCAAAAGCAUCAGGGAUUGAAAAGAUUCACGUUUUCACUUACAAAUCGUUUUCUUUCUUGUUGAAAAUCUCUUUUGAUGCCAGGAAACGCUUUAGAGAACUCUCUCCUUGACGGCCGCUGACGCCAUCUUUGAUCCUUGGAUGCAGCUAACGUCAUGAACUUAUGGUGACCCGCCAAAUUCGUACUGCCAGGGCCUGGAAGAUUUUUGACUCCUAAAAUUUUUGAGCUACAAUUCAAAAACGGCUGAAAGGAUUUUAAAGGCAGUCAGACCAUUUGAAAGAAGAGGAACGUAGCUUUUUAACCAACAGUACAGUAAUCCCCAAUGAAUGAUACGACAAGUAGAUGGCAGGAACUGAUUGGUUCCCUAUGGCAGCCAGCAUUCCGGACACGCUCCAAUAUAUACUUGCAA